rnacentral:rRNA from 1 species
CUUGAACGCUGGCGGCAUGCUUUACACAUGCAAGUCGAACGGUAACAGGCCUUCGGGUGCUGACGAGUGGCGCACGGGUGAGUAAUGCAUCGGAACGUACCCAGAGGUGGGGGAUAACGCAGCGAAAGCUGUGCUAAUACUGCAUGUGAUCUGAGGAUGAAAGCGGGGGACCGAGCAGCAAUGUUUGGCCUCGCGCCUUUGGAGCGGCCGAUGUCGGAUUAGCUAGUUGGUGGGGUAAAGGCCUACCAAGGCGACGAUCCGUAGCUGGUCUGAGAGGACGACCAGCCACACUGGGACUGAGACACGGCCCAGACUCCUACGGGAGGCAGCAGUGGGGAAUUUUGGACAAUGGGCGCAAGCCUGAUCCAGCAAUGCCGCGUGCGGGAAGAAGGCCUUCGGGUUGUAAACCGCUUUUGGCAGGAACGAAACGGUGUCCGCUAAUACCGGGCGCUAAUGACGGUACCUGCAGAAUAAGCACCGGCUAACUACGUG